rnacentral:rRNA from 1 species
UACGUAGGGAGCGAGCGUUGUCCGGAUUCAUUGGGCGUAAAGAGCUCGUAGGCGGUUUGUCGCGUCGAAUGUGAAAACCCGGGGCUCAACCCCGGGCCUGCAUUCGAUACGGGCAGACUAGAGUUCGGUAGGGGAGUCUGGAAUUCCUGGUGUAGCGGUGAAAUGCGCAGAUAUCAGGAGGAACACCUAUAGCGAAGGCAGCUUGCUGGGACGUUACUGACGCUAAGGCGCGAAAGCGUGGGGAGCGAACAGG